GAGCGGAGAUGAGGUGCUUGCACCUUAUCUUAGCGGCGGACGGGUGAGUAAUGCUUAGGAAUCUGCCUAUUAGUGGGGGACAACAUUCCGAAAGGAAUGCUAAUACCGCAUACGUCCUACGGGAGAAAGCAGGGGAUCUUCGGACCUUGCGCUAAUAGAUGAGCCUAAGUCGGAUUAGCUAGUUGGUGGGGUAAAGGCCUACCAAGGCGACGAUCUGUAGCGGGUCUGAGAGGAUGAUCCGCCACACUGGGACUGAGACACGGCCCAGACUCCUACGGGAGGCAGCAGUGGGGAAUAUUGGACAAUGGGGGGAACCCUGAUCCAGCCAUGCCGCAUGUGUGAAGAAGGCCUUAUGGUUGUAAAGCACUUUAAGCGAGGAGGAGGCUACUGAGACUAAUACUCUUGGAUAGUGGACGUUACUCGCAGAAUAAGCACCGGCUAACUCUGUGCCAGCAGCCGCGGUAAUACAGAGGGUGCGAGCGUUAAUCGGAUUUACUGGGCGUAAAGCGUGCGUAGGCGGCUUUUUAAGUCGGAUGUGAAAUCCCCGAGCUUAACUUGGGAAUUGCAUUCGAUACUGGGAAGCUAGAGUAUGGGAGAGGAUGGUAGAAUUCCAGGUGUAGCGGUGAAAUGCGUAGAGAUCGGGAGGAAUACCGAUGGCGAAGGCAGCCAUCUGGCCUAAUACUGACGCUGAGGUACGAAAGCAUGGGGAGCAAACAGGAUUAGAUACCCUGGUAGUCCAUGCCGUAAACGAUGUC
rnacentral:rRNA from 1 species